ACUUUGUAUUGAUGUCUGAUUGUUCUGUGUCUACCAGCUGACACGGGAGCUUUGACCCUUCCUGGAUAUGGUGUACCACGCGCUGGACAGCCCGGAUGAUGAUUACCAUGCCCUGUUCGUGCUCUGCCUCCUCUAUGCCAUGUCUCAUAAUAAAGGGCUGGUGGUAAAAUCUACCUCACAUGGACUGCAUGGCACUAGUAGGCAUGGAUCCUGAAAAAUUAGAGCGAAUCCAGCUCCCCGUGCCAAAUGCGGCCGAGAAGACCACCUACAACCACCCGCUGGCUGAAAGACUCAUCAGGAUCAUGAACAACGCUGCCCAGCCAGAUGGGAAGAUCCGGCUGGCGACGCUGGAGCUGAGCUGCCUGCUUCUGAAGCAGCAAGUCCUGAUGAGUGCUGGCUGCAUCAUGAAGGACGUGCACCUGGCCUGCCUGGAGGGUGCAAGAGAAGAAAGUGUUCACCUUGUACGACAUUUUUAUAAGGGAGAAGACAUUUUUUUGGACAUGUUUGAAGAUGAGUAUAGGAGCAUGACA
rnacentral:sRNA from 1 species